GUGAGAUCAUGACCUGAGCUCAAGUCGGAUGCUUAACCGACUGAGCCACCCGGGCAGCCCGGUAAGGUCUUGUGAUGGGCAGCUUAUCCAGGCUCUCGUGUGGAGAGAGUCCUCGGAGGAUUCUUAGACCCAAGUCUGUGCUUUGGAGGAGAAACCAGAGCCAUGGAACGUUGGCUGCAAGUAGGGGAGGUCCCUGGCAAGCCCGGGGUGUGUGUGAUGCUAAAAACCAUGAUCAGUAGCUGAGUAUUCAACACCCACCAGUUCACUUUCAUCAGCUGUCCACCUGCCGGUAGAAUCAUCAUCCAACCAUCCAUCCAUCCACUGUCCACUCCUCCAGCAUCCAUCUCCCAAUUCCCUCAUUCCCCCCUCUCCCCAUUCACUCACCUCCCCCCAGUCCUGUCACCCCCCCCCCCAUCCCUCACCAUUGACUCUGCACCUGGUCCUGUGCUGGAUGCUCAGUGUGCAACGAGUAAGACUGCGAUCUUCCUUCAAACCCAGUGAGGCAGGCAGACGCUUCGUCUAUGCGAGGGAGGUGAAUGUGGUGGUGGAGGGUUCUAGGAGGUCUGAGAUUUCAGACCUGGAAGACCUAGACAGGCAUCAGAGUUAGUCCCGCGAUGCUAAGUCUGGGAAACUGAGGUCUAGAGAGGAGAUAAGACAUGCCAAGUCACAGAGUCAUGGGGGGGCGGGGGUGAGCUCAGGUCUCACUCCCAUUUCCCUGUUCUUUCCGCCAGACUCUAGGCCCCACUUCCGCAUCCAUACUCAGCAACACUGGAGGCCAAACGCUCUCAACCCCUUAGUGCCUGGCACAGCCCUGGGCCUGGGGAAGGGGACCUUCCCUGUUGCCACGGCACACCUGCGCUGUCCCCACGGACAAUCAGAUUGGUAGAGCUUUCUCAUGCUCUUCCCAUCGUCCCACGGAAAACCCACCACAGUUCCGGAGGACUGGCAUCACCACCCCUUUUUACAGAAAAGGGGACUCAGAGGGGGGAAGGGGCCUGCCUAGAGUCACACAGCUCGAGUGCAGCGGAGCCAGCAUCCUGAGUCACCAUUGUGAACCUGAUCUGAGACACCAGGCGGCACCUCACAUAGCCUUGAAUGUUCUGGCCCCAGGCCGAUGUUGUGCCAUUGAAGUCAGGGGCUGCUGACAGGUAGGUUCGGCAGGGACUGGAACGUUGGGGGAAGGACCCCGAAAAGGAAACCCCGGAGACUGUUUUCACCUGGAAGGGCUCCGCCCCGCCCAGCAAUGGAAAAUGUGUGUCAGAGGAAGCCGCUGGCUGGGGAUGGGGUAGGUGUGCGUGGGUGAGCAUUUGGAGGGGCACAACAGGGGAGGGGCAGGAUGUGCUGGGGUUGGUGGGCAAGGUCGGGGUGCCGGAGCGGGGCACGGGCUCUGCCCUCUGCCCACUGCCUUUUUCUCUCUGGUUCUCGCUUUCUUUCUCAUGCUCUCAGAACUAACAAUACAACUUUCACUUCCAGACAGAUGGGCCGACUGUCCUAUGAAAGCUGUCCCCACGCCCUACCUCCCAGAUCCCCUUGGCCAAUUCGCUCUGCUGGGUAGUUACCGCAGCAAGCAUUUAUUGAGCACCUGCUGCAUGCUCAGAUGUAGGGAUGCAGGAUGGCCUCUUCCCUGCCCAGAGAAGUGCACAACCUGGUGAAGACAGAAAUAUGAUGAGACAGGGCCAUUGUGACAAGGUACCGCAAAGCCGGGGUUAAGAUAACACGGACUUAUUCACUCUCUGUUCUGGAGGUUCGAGGAUUGAAAUCGAGGUACCAUCAGGGUCACCUUGUCUAAGACUCUGGGUAGAAACCUUCCUUGCCUCCACCUAGCUUCUGGUGGCCAUCAGUCGGUGGCAUUCCGUAGUGGUCAGCUCUAUCACCCCCAUCUCUGCCUCUGUCAACAACAGUGUUCCCCUUGUGUGGUUCUCUCCUCUUCUUAGGAGGACACCAGUCAGAGUGGACUAAGGGCCAACCCCGCUCCAAUACGACCUCAUCUUAAGUAAUUCCUCUGCAGCAACCUUCUUCCGAAAUAAGAUCACAUUCUGGGGUGCUGAGAGUUGAGGCUUCAACAUAACUUUUGGGGGGACGUAACCCAACCUAUAACAGAUGUCCUUAAAGUGCUUGUCAUAUAGAUAAAUAUCAAGUCUGGGGGAAAAAAAUCCUAUGCACAUCUCACGUCACAGUUUGAGAUUUAGGAAAUUUGGCCUCAGCAUGUCUGUCCCCCACACUAAUACUUUGCCCUAGUGAGUACUAAAUAAAUGUUUGGGAAAUACUUGACUUGUGGUCUCCUAAGGCUCCCAGGUCUUUCCUUAACAAGUUAGAGAAAUAGAAUAAAAGUCCCCAGAGAACAAAGUCAAGCUGCCCUCUGUCCUGGAUUCCUGGCAGGCAGCAGCCCCACUGACCUGGGCACCCCCUUUCCUGCCUGCCUGGGCACCAGCUUGGGGAAAUAGCCAGUCAUGAGAAGGAUGGAAAGGAGAGGCCUCAGCUCCCUUCCUCUCCGGAUUAAGCAGACUCACUGUUCUCAGUCCUCUCCCUUGCCUCCCUAUCCAAACAGGCUCAGACUACUCCAUUGAGACAAGUAUCCCUGCAUUACUCUUGCUUCCCUGGCCCGGUUCAGGCCUUUCCCUUUACCACUGGGACUAUUGUCCCCGGUCUUCGAACUGAUUUCUCUGCUACCAGCACCAAUUGGGUCAUCCUAAAUAUGAAUCUGAUGACUUCUCUCACUGCUCUAAAACCUUCAGUGGCUCCCUAUUGCUCUCAGAACAAAGUCCGGAUGAUUCCCUAGCUUACCAUUUCAGACUUUGGACAUGUUGGUCCCCAGGUAGCUAUCCAGGCUCGUUCUUCACUACCUCCCUACAUGUGCACUAUCCUACAGGCAGGGGAGGUUCCAGAAUUUCCAUCUAAAAGAGACGGGGGGGGGGGGGGCACAUUCUGGUUGGCAGGGGACACCAUGGAGGCUUGUCUUUAUAAGCAGGAAUGCCUGAGCAUGAUGGUGCUUUCCUGUUUUCAGCAUCUGCUCCUUGGGGUACACUGUCCCCUCUACAGGGAAUCAUCUCCCUACAUCCCAGUUUUUCAACAUGUGACUCAAAGGACCUCUUCACCCUGAUCACAUAACCAAAAGGACUUCUCCCCGAUCUGCAUACAGGGUAUUUUGGUAGAACUUCAUUAUGAAGUUUAUUCCAGUGCACCUUGUCCUGGCCACAGGUUGCACCUCCCUUCCCUUAGAGCUAGGUUCUAGCCCCAGGCCUGGGCUGAACAGAAGGAAGGGCAGGUGAGAAAAAUGCCAGGGUAGAGACCUGGCUGCUGAAACACUUUGUCAGUGUUUGGCUGCAUGACUCUAGGCCAGUCACCUCCCUUCCCUGGGUCCUUCUCAGGUCCUUCUCUGUAGGGUGGGGGGUGGGGGGAGGCAUUCAAGGAGGGUGAAAGCAUGAGCUAAGUUUCUCCCUCCACCCCAGGUCUGACCAGACCUCGGUUCUAUGAACAGAAGCUUUUGGGGGUCCUUUAUUUUGUAUUAAUUUACAUAUAUUUGCAUACGUGCUAUAAUAGGCACUGACUACAUUUCAUUCAUAGAAAGAACUGAUGUCAUCUAAUUGAUGUCCAGGGACGGAAAAAAAACCCCCACUGGCUCAUGGUUCUAUCCAAAUCUUACCAGUCAGAGGUCUUUAGUGAUUAACCCUCCCACACCCUCCAGAGGAGUAACUGAGGCUCAGAAAGGGAAAGUGACGAGGCAAAUGACACACAGUGAGUGUCAGGCUUCCUCCAGGCUUCCCAGAGUCCUCUGCCAGGGGAUUGCCCCAGGCACCGGGUUCCUCUCUCCAUGCAGGGUGCAGGGUCGAGGGGUGUGAGAGGAGGCUAGGCUUUCUCUGUAGGCCCUUCUCUGCACCCCAGAAUAACAAAGCCUGCUAGCUUAACAGCCUCCGCAACCACCACAGGAAACCAAAUUGUAGUAGAAAGUCAGAUGGGAGUGGAAAAUCUUCUCAGAGAUGUGAGAUCGUUGCUUUCACCUGUUCUAAAAAUAACUCGGUUUAUUAGAGAUUGAUAGAUGACAAGAUAACCCACAAGUUAUUCCGCUGAGGCGGGGGAGAGGAGAGAGUUCCACCUGUUUGAACAACAGGGGAGUUUGGGGGGUGCUGUGGGGGAUUGGCGAGAUGGCUGGACCCUUCGAACUCAGUGUUCAGUGAAAGUUAGUUAGGGGGGUGGGCAGGUGCCCCUCGGAACACCAGGGCCAGGACGGAGGACACUGCCUUCAAGGAUCCUAGUCCAAGGAGCAGGGAGACAGAUAACAAAAGUUGACAAAUAAAAUAAUUGCAAACCGGGAAAAUCGGAAGAGCAU